UGCUAUGAUGGUGUAAUUUGCGUCUAAUUCUGUGCACAGUGACAGUUGCCUACUGUUAUUAUGCUGGUGCAGACAUAUGACGACCAUUUAGAUCUGAGCA